rnacentral:rRNA from 1 species
UACGUAGGUGACAAGCGUUGUCCGGAUUUACUGGGCGUAAAGAGCGCGCAGGCGGUCGAUCAAGUCGAGUGUGAAAGCCCCCGGCUCAACUGGGGAGGGUCAUUCGAUACUGAUCGACUCGAAGGCAGGAGAGGGUAGUGGAAUUCCCGGUGUAGUGGUGAAAUGCGUAGAUAUCGGGAGGAACACCAGUGGCGAAGGCGACUAUCUGGGCUGCAACUGACGCUGAGGCGCGAAGGCUAGGGUAGCAAACAGG